UUUUUUAUUGUCUACUUUCCUCACUAGGCUGUAAGUACCAUGAGGAUGAGGAUAAGGAUCUUGUUAUCUUAUUGUUUCAUUUCCAAGGCCUAGUCUAGGGACAAAAUAAUAGUAGGUGCACAAUGAAUAUUUGUUCAACUGAUUUUGGUUGAGGAAUCAGUAAGUGAAGGAGACAGAGUAUGAGGUGACAGAAAUAUGACUAAGAGGGUGGAAUAGUUCAAAUACCAGUGAUCAAAGUACAGUUAUUAGAAAUAAUUUAUUGCAGUUGCAUUGGUGAUGGGCAGGCUAUUUAUGACUUUUGAGAAUAAAGUUUUAAUAGAAUAGUGUAAAUGAGAGUUAGAUUGUAGAGUAUCUUAAAGACGGAUAGAUAAUGAAGGAGAGGCUCUAAAAAACGAGAAAUUCAAUGGAUUAGAGAUAUACAGGUGUAGGGAAAAGGAAGGUUAUGUCUAAGUUCUCUGAACAGUGUGCCGCAUGAUUUAUAAGGGGUAAAUAAAAGGAUUACUAAGAAGUGAUAAGCCAACUGAAAUUGGAAAACCUGAAUUUUCAGAUGGCCAAAUUUACAUAGUUUUAUAACUUUCUCUGAAACAAAUCAGCUGAAACCAGGAUAAUAGGAAGUGGGUAAUGGAGGCAGUCCAGGAUUUAGGACUGCAUAAGCAGAAGGGUUAAGGAAGUGAUGGGGUUGAGUGUACUAUUAAAGAUUUUAUCAAUAGGACCAAAUAUGAAAGAUCUCAACACACUCAGCAGAUAUUUCCAAGCAU
rnacentral:lncRNA from 10 species